CCUACGGGGAGCAGCAGUGAGGAAUAUUGGUCAAUGGGCGCAAGCCUGAACCAGCCAAGUCGCGUGAGGGAUGACGGUCCUAUGGAUUGUAAACCUCAUUUGUCGGGGAGCAAGGCCCGCCACGUGUGGCGGGAAGGAGAGUACCCGAAGAAAAAGCAUCGGCUAACUCCGUGCCAGCAGCCGCGGUAAUACGGAGGAUGCGAGCGUUAUCCGGAUUUAUUGGGUUUAAAGGGUGCGUAGGCGGAAGGUUAAGUCAGCGGUAAAAUGUCGGUGCUCAACACCGGCCUGCCGUUGAAACUGGUCUUCUUGAGUGAGCGAGAAGUAUGCGGAAUGCGUGGUGUAGCGGUGAAAUGCAUAGAUAUCACGCAGAACUCCGAUUGCGAAGGCAGCAUACCGGCGCUCAACUGACGCUGAGGCACGAAAGCGUGGGGAUCGAACAGGAUUAGAUACCCUUGUAGUC
rnacentral:rRNA from 1 species